ensembl:snoRNA SNORD15 Small nucleolar RNA SNORD15
CUUCAAUGAAGAGAAGAUGACGAGUCUGACUGGAGGUAUUAUCUUUGCCAUGUGGCCCUUACUCCUUGCUGCGUUCUGUGGCGGUUUUAAGGGCCCCUGGGUUAAAGUGACUUCCAAAAGACGACCUAGAGGCAUUUGUCUGAGAAGG